GCGCUGUAUGUCCGAUGAGCUUCGUCGGGAGAAGUCGAGACGAUACGGAUGCUAAUGUCGGAAUCCGACUCGUCUUUCAGAUCAGCGAUAAUAAAACCGUCGUCACUAUUUGUCGCUUCUGCAUCGUCAAUGAGAAUAGGAUGAGAAGAUCUGCAGCACAAGUGAAAGCAAGGAGUGCAUUGUAAAUAUUAAAUAGUACAAGAA
rnacentral:lncRNA from 1 species